GAUGGAAAAUGCUGACGUCAUUGCCAGCCCACAGAGAAGCGACGAAAAGCGAAUCACACCCUCGAAUAUUCAACUUCUCUCUCACCUCUUUCUCUGUCGACUGGGGAAAAAAAAAUGUAUACCACGCAUCAAAGAUUCGUUUUGUACGCGACGCCCCGACUUCGAUCUCUUUCUUUCCUUACCUCUCCUCACUUCUCAUCCUUCUUCCUAUCAUUUUUUCCAAACGGCAAACCUUAAUCUUAUAAAAUUCUCUCUCUAAAGAAA
rnacentral:misc_RNA from 1 species